rnacentral:misc_RNA from 1 species
UCCGAGUUGACCCCGGCAGUCUCCUACGAGUCCCCGGCAUGACCCGCUGGCAACAUAGAACGAGGGUUGCGCUCGUUGCGGGACUUAACCCAACAUCUCACGACACGAGCUGACGACAACCAUGCACCACCUGUAUACCGACCUUGCGGGGAGAACAUUUCUGAACUUUUCCGGGAUAUGUCAAACCCAGGUAAGGUUCUUCGCGUUGCAUCGAAUUAAUCCACAUGCUCCGCCGCUUGUGCGGGCCCCCGUCAAUUCCUUUGAGUUUUAGCCUUGCGGCCGUACUCCCCAGGCGGGGCGCUUAAUGCGUUAGCUACGGCACGGAUCCCGUGGAAGGAAACCCACACCUAGCGCCCACCGUUUACGGCGUGGACUAC